rnacentral:rRNA from 1 species
GAUGAACGCUGGCGGCGUGCCUAAUACAUGCAAGUCGAGCGAACAGACGAGGAGCUUGCUCCUCUGACGUUAGCGGCGGACGGGUGAGUAACACGUGGAUAACCUACCUAUAAGACUGGGAUAACUUCGGGAAACCGGAGCUAAUACCGGAUAAUAUAUUGAACCGCAUGGUUCAAUAGUGAAAGACGGUUUUGCUGCCACUUAUAGAUGGAUCCGCGCCGCAUUAGCUAGUUGGUAAGGUAACGGCUUACCAAGGCAACGAUGCGUAGCCGACCUGAGAGGGUGAUCGGCCACACUGGAACUGAGACACGGUCCAGACUCCUACGGGAGGCAGCAGUAGGGAAUCUUCCGCAAAGGGCGAAAGCUUGACGGAGCAACGCCGCGUGAGUGAUGAAGGUCUUCGGAUCGUAAAACUCUGUUAUUAGGGAAGAACAAAUGUGUAAGUAACUAUGCACGUCUUGACGGUACCUAAUCAGAAAGCCACGGCUAACUACGUG